rnacentral:rRNA from 1 species
AGGAUUCCCCUAGUAGCGGCGAGCGAAGCGGGAAGAGCUCAAAUUUAUAAUCUGGCACCUUCGGUGUCCGAGUUGUAAUCUCUAGAAGUGUUUUCCGCGUUGGACCGCACACAAGUCUGUUGGAAUACAGCGGCAUAGUGGUGAAACCCCCGUAUAUGGUGCGGACGCCCAGCGCUUUGUGAUACACUUUCAAUGAGUCGAGUUGUUUGGGAAUGCAGCUCAAAUUGGGUGGUAAAUUCCAUCUAAAGCUAAAUAUUGGCGAGAGACCGAUAGCGAACAAGUACCGUGAGGGAAAGAUGAAAAGCACUUUGGAAAGAGAGUUAACAGUACGUGAAAUUGUUGGAAGGGAAACGCUUGAAGUCAGACUUGCUUGCCGGAGCUUGCUUCGGUUUGCAGGCCAGCAUCAGUUUUCCGGGGUGGAUAAUAACGGUUUGAAGGUAGCAGUCUCGGCUGUGUUAUAGCUUUCCGUUGGAUACAUCCUGGGGGACUGAGGAACGCAGCGUGCUUUUUGCGAAAGUACUCGUCUUUUUCACGCUUAGGAUGCUGGUGGAAUGGCUUUA